AUACGAAGGGGGCUAGCGUUGUUCGGAAUUACUGGGCGUAAAGCGUACGUAGGCGGACUGAUCAGUUGGGGGUGAAAUCCCAGGGCUUAACCCUGGAACUGCCUUCAAUACUGUCAGUUUUGAGUUUGGGAGAGGUGAGUGGAAUUCCUAGUGUAGAGGUGAAAUUCAUAGAUAUUAGGAGGAACACCAGUGGCGAAGGCGGCUCACUGGCCCAUUACUGACGCUGAGGUACGAAAGCGUGGGGAGCAAACAGGAUUAGAAACCCUAGUAGUCC
rnacentral:rRNA from 1 species